rnacentral:rRNA from 1 species
CCUACGGGUGGCAGCAGUGAGGAAUAUUGGUCAAUGGGCGCGAGCCUGAACCAGCCAAGUCGCGUGAGGGAAGAAGGUCCUAUGGAUUGUAAACCUCUUUUGUCGGGGAGCAAAAGACGCCACGCGUGGCGUUCCGAGAGUACCCGAAGAAAAAGCAUCGGCUAACUCCGUGCCAGCAGCCGCGGUAAUACGGAGGAUGCGAGCGUUAUCCGGAUUUACUGGGUGUAAAGGGAGCGUAGACGGUGCGCCGAGUCUGGAGGGAAAGGCCGCAGCCUAACUCCGGAACUGCUGUGGAAACUGGCGAACGAGAGUGGGAGAGGGGUAAGCGGAAUGCGUGGGGUAGCGGUGAAAUGCGUAGAUAUUAGGAGGAACACCGGUGGCGAAGGCAGCAUACUGGACCGUAACUGACGUUGAGGCUCGAAAGCGUGGGGAGCGAACAGGAUUAGAUACCCCGGUAGUC